AGCCUGGAGGCGCGCCGCUGCGGCGAGCUGGCCGCUCUUGUGAGGUACUGCGGUGCCCUGCACAAAGGAACGCAUCCAAAGUGUGCGUGCCAUUUCCAGAGCCCGCACCGCUGUCCAGAGCUUGCUGCACGCGGCGGACUUGAGGCUAGCGCAGCCCCGCCCCCGCUCGGGCCACUGGGUAUCCGCGAGCCUCGCCUUCUGCACCCUGGCUUCAGACACCGCAGGUUUGUCCUGCAGUCUCUCAGUUUCAUCCUUUAGUUUGGGCCAGUUUCUCAGAGAAGGCGUUUGCGUGGGUGUGUGGACGUCUUUAACAAAAGGAAGCUUUAAGUUUUGGCUUGGACACUUUAGCUUCUUACUGUUUGCCUUCGCGGUUCCAGGCAUCUUUCUUACGCGAUGGCUUUUCCUAAUUCUGGUUCCUUUUACAGAAUUCUUGAAUUCUUUUGAGCCAGUUAGUUCCCAAAGGAAAUUGGCCUCUCUACUCCCUCAGAGGCUUGUGGGGAUUUUCUUCGCUUGUCGCCUGUUUCCCAGAUCACCCUUGCUAUCCUCCUUAGGAACAUAAUGGUUAUCACUGUUGGCAAGUCCUAGUUAGCAGGGGAGAUUAUUGGAGGAAAGCAGAAAUGCAGGUUUUAUAGAUCUUGCCACAUUUAACUUUUUGCAGAAGUGACUUAGUGAAGGAGGCUACAGAGGCUACGUGGUAAAGCUAAUAGUAGCCCUUCCGUGUGGCUCCACAGGCUGCUGUCUGUGUGGCCAUGAACUAGGAGCCUUGGUUGGUGGAGGGUGGAGUACUCCACACAUUGGCAGUCCAGACAGUGCCCAGGCACUCUGGCUGCUGGAUCUUAACAGUCACUCUUUCCAGUGCCACUUUUGGCUUCAACAUUUUUAGUCAGUAGUCAAACGUGCUCAUCAAAGAUCCUCAGUUUCUCCAGGCAAAGGUGUAUUGGAGGACUACGCCAAACAUCAGAUCACAAAGAGGAGAUGUUGGCUGACCUCAGCUCAGGGCAGAAAUUCAGCCUGUGCAUCUUUGGAAGUGGGUCUUAAGUUUAGCCUGUCAAGGUCCUUAACCUGGUAGGGCUGGCAAUUCACUUCCUGUCUCUGUGAAUCCUUUACUGGGGAGUCUGAGAAGGCCUGAGGGGGGAUGUGUCAUGUACUUAAACCGUGCACUCUGACCUGGCCUGAUGAUGCGCCACUGCAGUUACAUUCUGCAGCAUAUGUGGCAAGACGGUCUGAGAACAGCCUGAGCUACAUGAUAAGUUCAAAGGCAGCUCAAGAUGUGUGUGUGUGUGCUAACCAGCCCAUGAUGAGACCACUGGGGAGAGCUAGGAGUUCCAGAGAAGGAGAAGGCCAGUGGGUGGUGAAAGC
rnacentral:lncRNA from 1 species